CCUACGGGUGGCUGCAGUGGGGGAUUUUGCACAAUGGGGGAAACCCUGAUGCAGCGACGCCGCGUGAGUGACGAAGUAUUUCGGUAUGUAAAGCUCUAUCAGCAGGGAAGAAAAUGACAGUACCUGACCAAGAAGCCACGGCUAACUACGUGCCAGCAGCCGCGGUAAUACGUAGGGGGCACGCGUUAUCCGGAGUUACUGGGGGUAAAGUGGUCGUAGACGGGUAUGUAAGUCAAGAGUGAAAGCCCGGGGCGCAACCCCGGGACUGCUUUGGAAACUUUGUAACUGGAGUACAGGAGGGGCAGGCGGAAGUCCUGGUGUAGCGGUGAAAUGCGUAGAUAUCAGGAGGAACACCGGCGGCGAAGGCGGCCUGCUGGAUGGAAACUGACGUUGAGGCUCGAAAGCGUGGGGAGCAAACAGGAUUAGAUACCCUAGUAGUC
rnacentral:rRNA from 1 species